GGGCGACUAGCGCAGUGGUCAGCGCAUUGGACUUCGACUGAUGGUAUUAUCAUGACCAGAGGUUUCCAAGGGUCGUCGGUUCAAAUCCGGCGUCGCUCU
rfam:Tilletiaria anomala TBC 951 K437scaffold_38, whole genome shotgun sequence.